rnacentral:rRNA from 1 species
GACGAACGCUGGCGGCGUGCUUAACACAUGCAAGUCGAGCGGAGCGGCGAACGGGUGAAUAACGCGUGAGUAACUGCCCCCCUCUCUGGGUUAACAGUUGACAACGGCUGCGAUUACCGGAUAGUGGGGGAUGGCUCGCGUCCUAUCGGCUUGUUGGUGGGGAAGUGGCUUACCAAGGUGACGAGGGGUAGCCGGCCUGAGCGGGCGACCGGCCACAUUGGGCUGGGAGACGGCCCGAACUCCUACGGGAGGCAGCAGAGGGGAAUAUUGCACAAGGGGGGAAACCCUGGUGCAGCAACGCCGGGGGCGGGAAAACGGCCUUCGGGUUGGAAACAGCGUUCAGCCAUGACGCGGUAGUGGCAGAAGAAGCACCGGCUAACUACGUGCCAGCAGCCGCGGUAAUAC